GACCAGCCACACUGGGACUGAGACACGGCCCAGACUCCUACGGGAGGCAGCAGUGGGGAAUUUUGGACAAUGGGCGCAAGCCUGAUCCAGCAAUGCCGCGUGAGUGAAGAAGGCCUUCGGGUUGUAAAGCUCUUUCAGUUGAAAAGAAAAAGCCGUGACUAAUAAUCAUGGUUCAUGACGGUAUCAACAGAAGAAGCACCGGCUAACUACGUGCCUGCAGCCGCGGUAAUACGUAGGGUGCAAGCGUUAAUCGGAAUUACUGGGCGUAAAGGGUGCGCAGGCGGUUCUGUAAGUCAGAUGUGAGUUCCCCCCCUGGGGGCC
rnacentral:rRNA from 1 species